GGCCGUGUGGCGCAAUGGCACCGCGUCUGACUACGAUUAUCAAAAUCUGAAGGGUCAUCCGAGGAGUUAAAUCGUGUUUAAUCAGAAGAUUGCAGGUUCGAUCCCUGCCUCGGUCA